CCGCGAGAAAGGGGAAACUGAGGAAAGGAGGCGUGCCCGUCACGAGAAGGUGGCCAAAGCUGUGCUGAGUACUGGAUGAAGGUGGGGUGGGGAGAUCAGCUAUUUCACGCACCUCCCCAGUAGACCCACACACUGCCCACCCCACAUCCAGCGUGAGAUUGUCACGGAGAUGGCAAGGCCUUCGACUUCGAGACGCUGAGCAAGGCAACAGACGCUUUGGCUGACCUCACGCCUGUUCCAGUGG